GCCGGGCAAGUUUUUGUUUUUAUGCGACUUCAAGAGUUGACAAAGGUUUAAUUUCUGAGCUCCAGAAUUAGAACUGGAGAGUUCUUUCUGUAGCUAAUGAAUGUAGCAUAGAGGUUCCUGGUGUUUUAAUUGUUCAAAGGCUUCAGCAGUUGCUUCUCACCUUGGCUACUCUAAUAAAAAGGGAACUAUGUGACUCAUCUGUUCUGGUGAUUGGAUAUAUAAUGAAAAAAAUCCCGUGAGGAAGACUUCGCAAGGGCAAGUUACUUUAGAGUUUAG